GCCGCGUUAGCGUAGUGGUAGCGCGUCGCACUUGUAAUGCGAAGGUCACUCGUUCAAUCCGGGUACGUGGCA
rnacentral:tRNA from 1 species